UACGAAGGGGACUAGCGUUGUUCGGAUUUACUGGGCGUAAAGCGUGCGUAGGCGGUCUUUUUAGUUAGGUGUGAAAUCCCAGGGCUCAACCUUGGAACUGCACUUAAUACUGGAAGACUAGAAUUUUGGAGAGGAUAGUGGAAUUUACAGUGUAGAGGUAAAAUUCGUAGAUAUUGUAAGGAACACCGAUGGCGAAGGCAGCUAUCUGGACAAAUAUUGACGCUGAGGCACGAAAGCGUGGGGAGCAAACAGG
rnacentral:rRNA from 1 species